CUUUCCCAAAUAAGGAAGGGGGAAGGGAGUCGUGAGUUACAACGGUGGGACGUGUGGUUUGGAAGGGAGAAAUGGGUGCAGAGCAGGUAACCAAGGGAACAGAUGUGAGUUAUUGAUUAGAACUGACGGGGGAAGGUUGUUUACAGUAACUAAGGGCAAGGAGGCAUGGAGAACAAGAAAGUUGAGUUCGAGAACAAAACACAAGAACGUUAACAUGCCAAACCUUGGAAGAGAAACUGACUGUAUCUGACAGUUUUACACAUUUUAGGGAGACAGGAGACAUCAAUCAACAUAUGUAAGAUGAACACUGGUUUGAUCCGGUACAACCUGAAGCAAAAGUGGGUCAACUCGAAGCCAGGAGGGGGCUUCCAGGUCACAGAAACGGGGGUCUCCCUCGGUUGCCCAGGCUGUCUCUGGUGCCCAACGCAGGGCUCCCCGUAAUCUCUACAAAUAAUCCAGUGAAGGAACACCAGAGCGUGGAAAGCUGAGGACGACCGACAAAGGACUCCCGAACAAGUAUUCUCCUUGGUUCCCGGAAUAUGGAAUCAUGAAUGUAGAAGAUUGGGACAAGGUGGGAUCAGACUUAAAACGAGCACAACAAGAGGGCCGCGAUAUUCCCGUCUCUGCUUGGUCUGUGUGGUCUGCAAUUAAAACAGCCCUGGAGCCCUUCCACACUGAGGAGGAGAAGGAGGAUUUUCAGGAUGACAUAGGAAAGUUGAAUAAUCAGGAGUCUAAUUAUCAGCUAAGUGAACCAUGACAGUCUCGUUUAAAAAAGGGCGAGAAACGGGAAGGAAUUUCUCUGGGAUUUCCUGAACCAUCAGGAGGGUCCCCGCAUAAGAGAUCAUUUAAGCCACGGGGAGAUCAACUUACAUGAAUUUUCAAAAGAAACAACUAAUCAGUUGCUUGCAUUUUCUGUUGUACUGUUACUCAGAUCUGUUGAUGAAGGUCUACUAUCAGUUUUUAAGCUGCAAAAAAUUGUUUGAAGAAAGAUAAUGAGAAAUGGGGACUCUAAUUGGCCUACAGUUCAAUAGAAGAAAACUAAGUCUACCCAAACACGAUAGUAGCCACUGUUUUCUCUAAACUAGGAAAAAGCAGCAGUAGAAUUGUUGAUUAGUCUUGCAGAAGACUAUAGUUCUCGCUGCCAUCCGGUUUUUCAGCUUAAAAAACAGGUAUGCCGAAUGCAGGGUGCUGGGAGGGCUGUGUACGUCUCUGAAACCACCUGUCUUUUGCAGAGAUGCUGGAAGGGUGCAGUUUGCCUGCUGAGUCAGACUUUGAGUUGGGCAGAUCCAGCUUUCUAGCCAGCGUGGUGCUUGCAGUGGCCCUGGCCUGGGUUGCUCAGUCUUCUGAGCCUCAAGUUCCGUGUCUCGCAGUUGAAAGUAAUGCAGUGCUGAUGGCACUGAGGUUUUUAGUGUUAAAUGGAUGAGCACUGGGAAGUGUUUUUGCUGAAUCCCCUGGCAGGCUUUUAUUGCUGUAGGCAGUAACGCAGAGCUGGGAGCAGUUUUUAUUUGUCAGUGGUGAGUAAUGUCAGUUUUUCUUCUCCUACACGGACUAGCUUUUGUUAACUUACUGAAACAAACAAUUUUUUAAGCAUUUCUGCCAGGAAGUUCCAAUUUGGCAAUCAGCGAAGGUGUUUUAUUCUACAUACGGGAGGAUACAAGGGUAGUGCAAGGGGAUGAAAGAGACAGUCCCCAAGAAUAUAAGCAUCGUGACAGCUGUGCAGGUGAAAAUUCAUAAAUGAGACUACCUCUAAAAGGAAGCUGUAAAAUCAACACACAGCGGGUCAGGAGAGAUUUGCAAAGGCGCUUUAAGGAAAUGGUGCCUUGAGAAGUCGGAGGCCUCCUUGAGAAUGCCUUCAGGAAAAUACUGUCAGAAGGGGGUUGUCAGCAGUGAAGUUGGGAAAACAGCCUCCUGGAGGUGUGGCUUGGAGGCAGAGCAUCGGGCUGCACUGGUCGGAUGCCAUUCCCCGUUGGCGCCGCAGACCAGCUUUACCAGUGGGGAUUGCCAUGCUUUCCAAGUGCAAGCCCUUAGGAAGGUGGAGGAGGGAAGAUUUAGGAAGGAAGAGGAGCUUCAAGAAGGCAGCCUUUGUCUUCCAACCAGAGCUGCUGAGGCUCCAGACCAUCCUCUCCCGUGCCCCACGGUGGCUAUUUGGGUCCUUACCACUUCCUGUCCCCCUCCUGGCAUCUCACAGGUAUUCAGGCAGCUUUGCAUCCUGGGCUUCGGUUAUUCCUGCUGUUGAGACCACUCACGCUCCAUGGUGUCAGCAGCCACGUUUGACUUGCUCAUGUGCUAGUGGGUUAGAAAUGGGGAGCAUCUGCCGAGGGAUCUGUCCUGUGGCCUGGCCUGGGUGUGGACGGCUGUGGUCCCCCAGGGCUUCGUGGAUGUUGCGUCUGAGAAGACUGGAAGUUGGCCAGAGGCCUCAUGGGGGUCCUGCAGGGACAGUCUCAAGGUGACAGCGGCUGCACCCCGAGCGCGGCCUGAACUGGAGAGGCACCUGCGCCUCUGACAUGGCUUUGCAUAACGUGCAGCAUCUUCACACCUGCUGUGUUCUGCUGGUUCCAGGCCAGUCACCAGAGCUCGUGCAGAUUUGGUGGGGUCCUCCCUCUCAAUGGCAGGUGUCGAAAGAACCUGUGAAUAUGGUCAUAGCCAUCCCAGACGUUCACUCCCUACCAAUCCCCUGGUGGUUUCCCCAGCCUUCCCCCAUCUGUAGUGAAGAACUGACACCCGCCCUCUGGUUUUAAAAUGUUUAGAAUUUGUAAUAAUUUUAUAGAUACGUAUUUUCUAGAGAGUGAUGUAACAUCCAUAAUAAUCUAAAAACAGAUUUUCUAGGAAGUUACCGUGAAAUCUACAAAGUCAAUAAAACAUUUCAUCCCAGGUGCUGAGCUGUGAGGAGAGUAUCAGGGUUUGGGCUCUGCUGCCUUUCCCCAAAGAACUCAGUUGGGAAGCAGUCAGGUACGUGGCAUCCUGGGGCCUGGCUGACCUCAAGCUUGUCUGGUACUGUUAGUUUCAGCAGCAUUUCUUCUUUAGCGAGGCUGUUGGAAGAUAAAAGGGGAAGGAGGAAUUUCUGGGCCUUGGUGGCUGUGAGGAGCUGCAAGUGAUGCUGAAUGCGAUCUUCCAGCUGGCCUGGGGCCCUGGUGGAGACUGAACAUGGAACGAGAGGCAGGUUUUGUGGGUAGACAAUGGCGUCCAUGAGAACUACUGAGUAGGCAGGAAGAAAGAUGGGUCUGAAGCUCAGGAGAGAAGUGGGGAUGGAGGCAUGCAUUCUGGAAUCGUAGACAACAGCAGACAUACUUGUUCAGCAGGAAGAAUACGCAGGUGGUUCAUCGUCUCAUCAUCAGUCAUCAUUGGACUUUGCUUUUGGCAUAGGGCAUCGUUUCUUUCUCCACUGUCCCGUGAUGGUGGCUUUUUACAUUUUAUAUUUGGGGAAACUAAGAUUCACAGUCAGGUUGCUGCUCAGUGAACCAUUAACCAUUAUUGUGCAUGGGCACUAAUGUGGGCAUUUUAAUUGUCAUGUAUCUUUAAAUAUUUUCUAUUUUUCAGAUUAGAAGAUAAUUCUGAAACAAAUGCCAGCCACUCUUUAAUUACAAAAAUGACGGAUGAGCUGUAUCACCAUGUGCCUGAGAAUCAUUGUGUUUUAAAGGACUUGGAUCAUCUUCCUACUGAGACACCCACCAGUGAUACGCAGCUAGCCCUGGCUCCCAGAAAGCCGCAGCCUUGCAGGUACAGAAGGAGAGUGAGGUACAGGUGAGGAUCACAAUGCCUGCUCCAAGUCUGGCUCUGUUUGCAGGUGGCCCCAGCUGCUCCGUGAGCUCUGCAGCACACCCUUUCCUACCCUCUUCUGCCCCAGGAUUGUGCUGGAAGUGCUGGUUGUGCUCCAAAGCAUCGGCAAGCAGUGUCACCACGUGUCUGGCCAGGUCACCAUUGCCUCGGAGCUGAGACACAGGCAGUGGGUGGAGAGGAUGUUGCGGUCUUGCCAGCGGCAGAACUACCUGCGUAUAUGGAGUAGGUGUGCGCUCACUUUCCUGUUUUGGAGGGGCACUGUGGGGCAGGAAGUCGUCACAGAUGCAGUUCCAGUCCCCACUGAAGACACACACAAUAGGCCCCUCACUAAACCCAUCGACAGGUGUUGAUAUACUUGGAGUUCACAACUGAGAGUAUGAACCCAACGUAUCUGAGACAGGUCUCAAUCCUUUUAGAAAGUUUACUUUCCCAGGGUUAAGGACGUGCUGUGACAGCCUCAGGAGAUCCUGACA